rnacentral:rRNA from 1 species
AGGCAGCAGUGAGGAUAUUGGUCAAUGGGCGAGAGCCUGAACCAGCCAAGUAGCGUGAAGGAUGACUGCCCUAUGGGUUGUAAACUUCUUUUAUAARGGAAUAAAGUCGGSYAYGGRURCCCGUUUGCAUGUACUUUAUGAAUAAGGAUCGGCUAACUCCGUGCCAGCAGCCGCGGUAAUACGGAGGAUCCGAGCGUUAUCCGGAUUUAUUGGGUUUAAAGGGAGCGUAGAUGGAUGKUUAAGUCAGUUGUGAAAGUUUGCGGCUCAACCGUAAAAUUGCAGUUGAUACUGGAUAUCUUGAGUGCAGUUGAGGYRGGCGGAAUUCGUGGUGUAGCGGUGAAAUGCUUAGAUAUCACGA